rnacentral:rRNA from 1 species
UCGGCCUUUCGUGCUUAAUCCACUCAACACCUGUGCACCUUAUCGAAGUUAGUAGUCUUUCCUCCUUAGUUGGAGCCGCCGGGGUUGACUUUGUUAGUAGUGUUUCGACGCGAAAGCAUAUGGUCGGCCUUGGCUGGGAUCGGCGAACACUUUGACUUCAUUAUACACACUUUAAUUGUCUUGUAGAAUGUAAUGCUCCUUGUGGGCGAAAUGAAAUACAACUUUCAACAACGGAUCUCUUGGCUCUCGCAUCGAUGAAGAACGCAGCGAAAUGCGAUAAGUAAUGUGAAUUGCAGAAUUCAGUGAAUCAUCGAAUCUUUGAACGCACCUUGCGCCCCUUGGUAUUCCGAGGGGCAUGCCUGUUUGAGUGUCAUGUUAACAUCAAACCCCUUGCUUGUAAAGGCUCGGGGCUUGGAUUUGGAGGUUGUGCUGGCUGGCCUACUUCAUUGUCGGUUGUCGGCUCCUCUUAAAUGGAUUAGCUGGACUUUGGUCUGCGUGUCGGUGUAAUAGUUUAUUCACCAAUCGCUUGCCUAA